GAUGAACGCUGGCGGCGUGCCUAAUACAUGCAAGUCGAGCGAACAGACGAGGAGCUUGCUCCUGUGACGUUAGCGGCGGACGGGUGAGUAACACGUGGAUAACCUACCUAUAAGACUGGGAUAACUUCGGGAAACCGGAGCUAAUACCGGAUAAUAUAUUGAACCGCAUGGUUCAAUAGUGAAAGACGGUUUUGCUGUCACUUAUAGAUGGAUCCGCGCCGCAUUAGCUAGUUGGUAAGGUAACGGCUUACCAAGGCAACGAUGCGUAGCCGACCUGAGAGGGUGAUCGGCCACACUGGAACUGAGACACGGUCCAGACUCCUACGGGAGGCAGCAGUAGGGAAUCUUCCGCAAUGGGCGAAAGCUUGACGGAGCAACGCCGCGUGAGUGAUGAAGGUCUUCGGAUCGUAAAACUCUGUUAUUAGGGAAGAACAAAUGUGUAAGUAACUAUGCACGUCUUGACGGUACCUAAUCAGAAAGCCACGGCUAACUACGUG
rnacentral:rRNA from 1 species